AUAAAAAUUAUUUAUGGUUUUAAAUUUUAUUAUUUAUUUAUUUUACAUAUAAAUUUUAGUAAAAUAUAUUAAUUUAAAAAAUUAAUAAAUUUAUAUUAAGUAGUAAUUAAUAUUAAAAAUUUAAGAAAUUAAGAUUUAGUAAUAUAAAAAUUUAUAACAAAUUUUGUGCCAGCAGUUGCGGUUAAACAAAAAUGAAAUUAAAUUUUAUUAAUAAUAAAAAAUAAAAAUAAAAAUUUAUUUUUAAAUGUUAAAUUAUAAAGUGAAAUUUUUAUUUUAAUUAAAAAAAUUAUUUUUAUAUUUUAAUAAAUUUUAAUAAUAAACUAGGAUUAGAUACCCUAUUAUUUAGAAUUUAAAUUAAAAAGUAUUAAAAUAGUAAAUGUAAAUAUAUUGAAACUUAAAUAAUUUGGCGGUAUUUUAGUUUAUUUAGAGGAAUCUGUUUAGUAAUUGAUAAUCCACGAAUAAAUUUACUUAAUUUUUAAUUUUGUAUAUCGUUGUUAAAAAAAUAUUUUUUAAAAAAAUUAAUAUUUAAAAAUUAAUAAAAUAAAUUAAAUCAGAUCAAGAUGCAGAUUAUAAUUAAGAUAUAAAAUGGAUUACAAUAAAUUUAUUUUAUUUGGAUAAUAUUAUGAAAAAAUAUUUAAAAUUGGAUUUAAAUGUAAUUUUAUUUAGUUUUAUAAAAUGAUUAAUAUUUAAAAUAUGUACAUAUUGCCCGUCGCUUUCAUAAAUAAGUUGAAAUAAGUCGUAACAAAGUAGAAGUACUGGAAAGUGUUUCUAGAAAGAA
rnacentral:ncRNA from 1 species